GGGACGUGGACGUGGGUGUGGGUGGGGUCAGGACCACCUGUGUCUUCCCCCACUGUGAUGGGGGUGAGGAGGGAGAGGUAAGUGGGAGCAGCUAAGA
rnacentral:miRNA from 1 species